rnacentral:pre_miRNA from 1 species
AGAGACGAUGGAGAAGGAGCUUAGGAUUCUAGAAAGCUCGUGGGAUGGGUGAGGGGGUAAGACAAUGGACUGUUUCAGUCUUUUGGAAACAGAAAUAAAGAAGAAGGCUGGUUUAUGUCUUGCCUACUCCACCCAUGCCACUGGUUUCCUGGUGUUCCUCCUCCUCCUAAAGUCUCU